rnacentral:rRNA from 1 species
UACGUAGGUGGCAAGCGUUGUCCGGAUUUACUGGGCGUAAAGGGCGUGCAGGCGGUCUGUUAAGUCUAGGGUGAAAGCUCCCGGCUCAACUGGGAGAGGUCCUUGGAUACUGGCGGACUUGAGGGAGGUAGAGGAAAGUGGAAUUCCCGGUGUAGCGGUGGAAUGCGUAGAGAUCGGGAAGAACAUCAGUGGCGAAGGCGGCCUGCUGGGCUGUUGCUGACGCUGAGGCGCGACAGCGUGGGGAGCAAACAGG